UCAGAAAUGUCUGGUUUGGGCAUCGUUUCUUAGAAAUUCACGACACCAGAGAGUUGUUCAAACCCUUUCCUUGCCAUUUCUAUUGCUAUAGUUGCACCAAUGAACUGAAAUAUUUAUAUGGAAGGGAUCAGGUAUGAGGGUUUCAGGGACAGAAGCCUAAUUGAGUCUAUGGCCCAAUGACUCGUCCCAUAAUGGUGUAUCCAUUUGUCAUCCUCUGUUGUCUGAUGCUCUCCAUUCCUGCUUCAUAUGGAGGGCUGCAAGAACUGGUCAUAACUUUUCUCAGUCAAAAGAAUCCAUAUCAUAUUCAGCAAGCAACAUCAUCAAAAUAUUUGCUUCUUAGUGACUGCAUAUCACAGAACAUAUCUGUCCCAGUUGUUCAUCUGGCACAUGAGGACUUCCAUGACAUCCACUACUGGACCAUCUUUCCCCUGCUACCCAUCUUGUCAAGAAGGCAUGGACAAAAUGCAUCCUGGUUCUUCUUUGGGACUGAAGGCACACAUAUCAAGCCAGCACCCAUGGCUUCUCUUCUGUCCAAGUUCA